GUGCUACUCCUUCCGUCCCGAAUUACUUGUCGCAGAGAUGGACGUAUCUAGACGCAUUUUUAGUUUUAGAUACAUCCAUUUCUGCGACAAGUAAUUCGGGACGGAGGGAGUAUUUG
rfam:Triticum urartu cultivar G1812 contig572276, whole genome shotgun sequence.